GCAUUGGUGGCCCAGUGGUAGAGCCCCCGCCUGCCACGUAGGCGGCCCGGGUUCGCAUCCCGGGCAAUGCC
rnacentral:tRNA from 1 species